GGGAGCGGGGCCUUGAUGGAUUUUACUGCCUGCGUGAGCGCGUGUGUGUGCUCACUGCGGCGGCGGCGGCGGCGGCCGGGCCCUGCCCGGCCCGUGCGGCCCCCGCACGCUUCCGAGGAGCCCGGCUGGAGCGCCCGCCCCGCGGCCUCGCCACCCCGCCGAGCCGCCAGCGCCUCGGGACGCGAUGAGGACCUGGGCUUGUUUGCUGCUCCUCGGCUGCGGAUACCUCGCCAGUGCCCUGGCCGAGGGGCCGAGGAGCCUUUGGAGACCAGCCUGAGAGCCCACGGGGGCCAUGGCGCCAAGCAUGCGCCGGAGAAGCGGCCUGUGCCCAUUCGGAGGAAAAGAAGCAUCGAGGAAGCCAUCCCCGCGGUCUGCAAGACCAGGACGGUCAUUUACGAGAUACCUCGGAGCCAGGUGGACCCCACGUCUGCCAACUUUCUGAUCUGGCCCCCGUGCGUGGAGGUGAAGCGCUGUACCGGCUGCUGCAACACCAGCAGCGUCAAGUGCCAGCCGUCCCGCGUCCACCACCGGAGUGUCAAGGUGGCCAAGGUGGAGUACGUCAGGAAGAAGCCAAAGUUAAAAGAGGUGCAGGUGCGGCUGGAGGAGCACUUGGAGUGCACGUGCACGAGCGCCAGCCCGAGCCCCGACCACCGGGAAGAGGAGGCGGGAAGGCGUAGGGAGUCAGGUAAAAAACGGAAAAGAAAAAGGUUAAAACCCACCUAACGCGGUCAACCAGAGACCCCUCUGUCUUGCUGGUGGCAUCCAUCCUCAGGGUUGCCUCAUGGCCCAAGAUGGCUGCAGGAGCUCCAGAAAUCACAUCAAGCUGUAGGCUGGAAGAAAGAAGAAGAUGUGAGGUGAGGAUCAGCCAGCAGCCCUUUUCCGGGACACGGAUGUACAUGGCGUGUUACAUUCCUGAACCUACUAUGUACGGUGCUUAUUGCCAGCGUGGUCUUUGUUCUCCUCCGUGAAAACUGUCUCCAUGCACACUCUGGAGAACAAAGAGACAGUAUACGUUGUUUAUGUGACAUCAAAGCAAGUAUUGUAGCACUCGGUGAAACAAUAAGAAGCUUCCUUGUCAAAAAAAAGAGAGCAAACAAAACCACGAAACAUGACAAACAAAACUCACUCACAAAAAUAUCUAAACAUUUGCUGGAAUGGAGGGACGCCCCGAGGGAUGGAAGUGACAGACGUCUCGGCAGACUGGAUCUCUUUCCAGGGUGGUCACAGGUGCUUUGGCCAAGGACACAGAGCCUGCUUUCUGAAGGCUGCGAUCGGAUGCCGCCGGGCUCUGCAGGGGCACGCAGGAGCCAGGAAUGUCUCGGAAACCACAUCUCCUUGCUGUAGUGUUUAAGUCUAUACAGAAACCUUCCUGAGAGCCUUAAGUGGAUUUUUUUUUACACCAUAAAGUGAUUAUUAAGCUUUCCUUUUUACUCUUUGCCUAGCUUUUUUUUUUUCUUUUUCUUUUUUUUUUUUAAUUAUCUCUUGGAUGACAUUUACACCGAUAACACCAGGCUGCAGUAACAGUCAGGACGGUGGGACGGUACCUUUCCUAGCAGGAUGCAAACAAAUGAGAUGUAUUAAAAUAAACAUGGUAUACCCACCUAUGCAUCAUUUCCUAAAUGUUUCUGGCUCUACGUGUUUCUUCCUUGCCCCAUUUUACUCACUUUUUAAUUUAAGCCAUUUCGAGAGAACUGCGUGAACCAAUCACAUGCCGUCCCCGAGCCUCUUUCCCCGAGUCCCUCCCACCUGCUGCGGCCAGGCCUGGGGAUGUGGCUUUCCAGAGUGGCUGCCCAGGGUUGCUCCCUGCUGCUGCCGCUGGUGUUUGGACAGAACCUAAACUCUUUAUUUUUGGUAAGAUGUUACGCUUUACGUGUAUUCAACAGAAAUUAUGUGUGUGUGUUGUUUUUUUUGAUUUUGUCUUUUUGUAAAGGUGAAGUUUGUAUUUUUGUCUAAUAUUACCAGUUUUAUACACCUGAGAGCCUGCCAUGUUUUUUUUUUGAACCAAAAGGAAAAAAACAAACCCACUAACAAAAUGCAUAUAUGUGAAAAGCAUUUGUGGCCACGUUUUUCUAGUUGCGUAGCCGAGUCCAUGCCCUGUCUGUCACAUGGCCCGUGGCCCGUGGCCCGGAUGCUGGAGCUCCCGGGUGAUGACUGGGAGAUGACAGCGUCCUGGGCUGGCCCGUGAUCCCAGACCUGCCCUUGGGAUUCCAGAACCUACGGGAACCGGCCAAAGGAGCUGUCCUGCUGGCGCACGUGGCCUCGCGGAGACGGAGCCGUGCAUCCCCUCAGACGCCAAGUGGACUAGGAAGAAUUGAUCCCACAGAGUGUGUUGACUGCGGUAUCUGUGCGUGGGCCAGUGGACAUGGCCAGCCUUACGUCGCCCACGGCCUACUGCUCCCGUCCUCAUCGCCUCAGGGCUCGUGUGACCGUCAGGAUCCCUCUGUUGCCAUGGGGUCAUCAUCUCUGGUGAUUGUGUCCCCGGGGUUCACCUGUUCACGGAGAUUCUGUAAAGGAGCAUCUUCAGCGCAUCUGCACGGUGUGGUCUUGGCUGCAGCGUGACGCCUUUCGGCGAGAGCGCGUGGGUGCGGGGGUGGGCGCAGGUGGCGUGGCCCCUGGCCCCCCACAGGGGAGCGCCCCCUGUGCAGGUUCCGUGAGGGGUGCCCGCUGCUUCCGGCCCCGUGGCUGGCGUCCUGGGGCUGCGCCGUGCUCGACGCUGUGCUGCGGAUACGUGUCUGAUGCUAGAUGUGUAAACAUGUGAUCUGUGUAUUUACGUCCCGUGAGAUGCUGCGAACACUGCUCAGAUUUUCUUUCUUUGUGCAAAGCCAUCUGAUGAAUGGUCUGUCCAUUAAAGCGAUGGCGCAGAAA